rnacentral:rRNA from 1 species
UACGAAGGGGGCUAGCGUUGUUCGGAAUCAUUGGGCGUAAAGGGUGCGUAGGCGGCGCGGUAAGUCGGGUGUGAAAUCUCGGGGCUUAACUCCGAAACUGCAUUCGAUACUGCCGUGCUUGAGGACUGGAGAGGAGACUGGAAUUUACGGUGUAGCGGUGAAAUGCGUAGAUAUCGGAAGGAAGACCAGUGGCGAAGGCGGGUCUCUGGACAGUACCUGACGCUGAGGCACGAAGGCCUGGGGAGCAAACGGG